rnacentral:pre_miRNA from 1 species
CCAUAUAGGUGAACAAAGGAAAUAGUUUCUUGAGAUAGAAUCUACUCCUGUUGAAGACGCUGUGAA